rnacentral:pre_miRNA from 1 species
GAUGUACUCCCUCCGUUCCAUAAUACAUGCCUUCGCCUUCGAUUUGUCAAAAUAUAGAUGUAUCUAGACAUGUUUUAGUAUAUUGAUACAUCCAUUUUUAAACAAAUGGAAAUCAAAUAUUUUGAAACGGAAGGAAGUACAAU